rnacentral:tRNA from 1 species
GCCUGCUUAACUCAUAGGUUAGAUCAUCGCACUUGUAAUGCGAUGGUCAUCGGUUCGAUCCUGAUAGUUGGCU